GACUAGAAAUUAUGAACUCAACCUUUACCCUAAAGGAAAGGCACUAGAACAUCUUUUUUUCUUAAAAUUUUUUUUAAUUUUUUUAAACACAGUCUCACUGUGUAGCCCUGGCUGUCCUGGAACUCACUCUGUAGAGCAGGCUGGCCUCAAACUCAGAGAUGCACCUGCCUCUGCCUCCAAGUGCUGGGGUUAAAGGAGUGUGUCACUAUGCCCAUUGAAUUUCUUUACCAUUAAGUCCUGUCAAGUAGGAAGGCUUAUUAGACACUUUGAGGAUUACAAAAUGGUAAUAUGCUUUGAUGGUAGAGUGCUACCAUUUUUCAUAACCAAAAUGGGUGAGUAAGGGUAGCUUUAAAAAUAGAAAUACAAACAACACCCUGGUGGAUGGAGUAGUGUUACAUUACCAAGUGCAGAUAACCGAUGCCUACCCGACAGGAUUGCUAAGUCACGGAAAUUCAAGUGGCAAAGCAUCCUCAGUUCUCGUGGGUAAAAAGAAGAAGAAGAAAGCAGCAGGAGGGGGCAGCCUAGUGGGGGCCAGUCUGCCUCUGGGGGACUGCAGUUGAAGAAGAGUGGUAGAAACUAUUUGCACUUUCUAGAAAGGCAAGGCCAUUUGCUUAUUGCAGAAAGAACAGCUUGCUGAAUUCAGCUUGCUCUGUGAGUUACUUUCCAUAAACUUAAUCUGACUGUAGUCAUUUUUUUCUUUCAUGCUUUUUAAUUACUAAGAGAAAUUUGGCGACUUCAAUAGCUUUGGUAUUUUGUGUGCAAAUCAUAAUAGAUCCAGUGUGAAAAAAUCAAAAUGUCACCUGUCACUCAGUGUUAGAAAAUUGCCUAAAAUGCAGUUUAAUAAAUGAUCUUUGUACCAAAUUGUAAUGUAAAUGGGGUCAUUUUCUGCCAGGAAAAUGUACUGUUUUUAUGUUUCCAACUCUCCUGAAUUAAAAUAAAAACACCUUGUUUUCUAAAAGCCUGGUGAUAUGAAUAUCAGACUCAUGAGAUUAUAGGCAGGACUCCAUCCACCUCAUUGAGCAGUGAGUAGAGUUUUCAGACUGUGGAAGGUGGCUGUGUUCUCUGAGCUCUGGUGCUCAUUUCAAACUACAGAAAAGACACUGGAUAAUAUGUUCUCAUUGACGUCAGCAGGGUAAAUAAUACCUCGCCCUAAAUUGCCUGAGUACACGUUAGCCACUACAGAUGGCCGAUGGAAACACUGCUAAGCACAGCCCUCACACAGUCAGGGCCUCUCUGAGCCUGGCUAAUGCUCCUGGUGUAAUAGAGCCCAUCACUGCAUCUGCACAGGAAGAAGACAAAGGCAAGCACACCGUGCUCUAAGUCGGCUCCCCCAGAACAAGUAAUACAGGAAGGCCAGCAAAGAGCACUGUUAUUAGUCAGUGUCACCUUGUCACCUCUGGGGUCUGUGAAUGGGACAUGAGCGAGCUACAUGCACACAAAAUGCACACAUGCAUGCGCACCAAGAACUUCUCACAAAGACAUACAUUCUUUUGCCCUUGGGGUUCUGGAGAAUCCCUUUGCCAAGCUGGACUUGCAGGGGCCAGACCCUAAGUAAAGGGCAGGACUAAAUCCCGCUUGCUGGCAGUGAGUGCAGAUGAGAUUUGGUUUCCAUUACUUAGGACAUUCCCCUGGGCCAAUAUUAUAUAGACCAGAACUGCAGCAGCUCUCAAAAGGAGGCAAGCCCAGUGGCUGUGAGGCUGAGGGUAUGUGGUAUGUAUAGGACUGGGGGCACAGAACCCUCACUGUGCAUGUGCGCAGCUCUGCCAGCCUUGGAAAAGUACAAGUUUCUUCCCCCCCCCCCCAUGUCAGUGCUUGCUUAGCAAACUUUACCCUUGCCCAUUGAAAUCACUCCAUCAUUGUAAAGUUGUCAUAGGUAACCACCCAGGCCUCCCCGAGUCUAAGGACACCCUUCACUUCCAUACCAAGUACAAAACCCUAUGAAGAACAGUAAAGAAUUGGCCACAGAGGGCAGAGCACUACCCUGUGGCCUCUGCCUGAGCAGCUCGGAACGCUGCAGGCCAGCAGGAAGCACAUUUCCAAAGCCUCUAGCCCUCCUGUGGCCAGUGCUAACAGACGAGGCUUCCCUCCUGGGAGCGGCCCUUUCCUUUCCUCCCCAUGCUGUCCAUUGUAGGAUCAGAGUCCUUGGGUGUGCAGGGAACUCUCUGGACUCUUCUCCAGAAACCUCACCUACAGAAAGCAGCUCAGUUUCUAGAAGAAUGCAUCCAGGAUCUAGAGGCUCACCCUGGGCCAAUGGGAAAAGCCCUUACUCUACGCCUUCAGAGUUAAAAGUUCAGACAGUGACACUUGGCAUCUGAGGGGUGCUCAUACCUCCAAGUGGGUCCAGGAAAGGAGGAACCCAAGAUCAGCCUGCAGUUCUCAGGAGCAAGACUGGCUUUGUACACUAAAGUUAUUUUUUUUAAUCUUGGUAUGAAUACUUUUUAACUUUUUUAGUGUAUAGGAUAAUGGGUUUUAUUUUGAUGACUUCACACCUACCUACAUAUCCAGUUCUCCCCUCAUACCCACCCUCUUACCCUUCUGCCCUCCCAUGAUGUGCAGAGCACUGCAUGAACUUGCAUGUCAUCCUUGUGUAGGGGCCAUGCUAAUCUCCCUGUAUUGUUCCAGUGUUAUGAACUGUUUUGCCUGAGCAAGCACUGUGCUGUGUCUGGGGCUAUGUGCCACAUAGGAAAUCUCACAGACCACAGUUGUCCCACCUUGGGCUCAGUAAAGCAUGGCUCUGCUCUUCCACUUUGGCUCCAGCCAAGAAUUUCAAAGGCUAAACAGCUCUCGAGCAAUGAAUUUGAUACAUAGAUUAUUUUUGGGCAGAAUCCAGAAAGAGGAAAUAAAUAUGGGUCUUGAAUGUAGCAGAGUGGAUAGAACUUCACAUCAAACGUGGAGCUGUCAUCAGUGACACACCUAUCCACAAUCCAGGCACAGAGACGUGACCACAGAUCCCUGAGCCUGAGGUCAGCCAGGCAGAGUGGGGAGCUUGCCCUGUCCUAAGGAGUCUGUUGGCUGAAUUCCUCUGUAUCUAUGGUUACAGAGCCAGGGAGCCCUGCUCCCUCCCUUUGUAUGUGCUUCUGAUGGGAUUUCCCAAGUACUGCUAGACUGAUCUGAACUGGCAGUGAGGGGGUAAAACAAGCAAACACUUAAGUGGGUGAGUAACGACUGACUGCAGAGGCGCAGACUACCCUGGAGCCAAACCCCCAAAGCUGGCUGGGCAGAAAGGUCAGAAGAUUCAAAGCCCAGAGAAAAUGAGGCAGCUGAGUGUUGAACCUCUGGAGCUGAGUCACUCCCUCCACAGAUAAGUUUUGAAAGCCUCUUACUCCGUCUUCCUCCUCCUUAUUCCUCAAAGAUGGAAUAACAAAGCCUUGGCUGCCCAAGAGAGGGCCUGAGAAUUCUGACCCCCAAGACACCCCACCAAGCUGAUGGGAUGGGUUCAGCUGAGCUAUGAGGAUGGCAAAGCACACCAUGCAAGGGACCCAGCUCAUUGCCUGUGCCUCACCUGAGACCCACUGGAACUACAAGUCACCACAGAAACCCAGAAGUUUACUCAUCAAAGUGAAGGCCAAAGGGCAGGCAGGCAGUCAGAAGGGUACCAGGAAAUGAAGAGAGAGGCUGGCUCCCCAGUCCAAACCAGUGGGUAGCUAGACAGGCACUACAGGUGAGUAGUACCACUCCGUCCUGUCAGAUAGCACAGGAGGCAGCAACAAAUCUGAACUCAAUCCUUAGUCCCUAGACCUGCCACUAACCUAUGCAGGUCACUCUAAGGGCUCACUGUCCCCACCCGUGAUGGGAGCAGCCUGACUCAGCACCUCCCUUUAACAUGGAAACAUUAUGAUUGGACCAACUCCCCUUGACCACUUGCCACUACUCUGUCUGACACUAGGCUAGGAAAUGGCUAUGCAGGUGCCUGUGAAGUCUCUUCUCACUAACUGAAAGGUGAUUACCCUCACUGGUAACUCAGUCCUGAGAUCUCUGAAUUUUUGGCAGUGAGUUCUGGGUAACACUGGUCAUGAGUGCCACAACUUAAGUCCAGCCCUAAGAAUCUGAGGGUUCAUCUUCACUGUCUCCUUGACUGGAUUUGGAAUCAUGGGGGAAAUACUCUGCAUCUGUCUGUGAGGAAGUUUCCAGAAGUGUUUAAGUAUGGAGGAAGCAUCCUGAAGGUGGGUGGCCACACCAUAGGUAGGUGUCUUAGAUAAAGAAAAUGAGAAAAGAAAGCCAAGUAGACGAUCAGCAUUCAUCUGAUCUGACCAGACACAGUGUGACUAUCCACCAUGGACUGUCCCCUCAAGCUGUGAGCCAGGUGGCUUUGGUCAGAUUUUUUUGUCACAGUAACAAGGCCUAUCUAGGCAGCUUUUUCCUCCCCAUCUUUGAAGUAAUUAAACUCAUGGGUGUAGAGGGCCUGGGGGAGUCUUUCUGCACAGACAGGUCUCAGUCCUCAGGGAACCACAGGAGACCAGAGCCUAGGGAGGGACCUGCUCUAGCUGGGCUGUGAUCCCUUUACUUCUGUCCCUGCUUCUGACCUCUCAGUAGCCUGUGGGACACAACUCCCUUAGCUGGAGUGCUCUGGAGACGAUCACACAUCAUGUGCAGCAGUCCUCUGACUGGACUGGGGACUCCUGGAUUCUAGUCUUUUAGGGUUCAAGACAUCCUCUGGCCAGGCAGUUAGGCUCUUAAAGCCCUACCCUUCAAGCACCCAGAGCUAGGCUCCUCAGAGUUGCCCUUCACAUCUUCUGGCAGCCCUGGUACCUCUUAGUCUGAGGAAUAAACCAACUGCCUACCAGAACAUCUCAGGUCACCAGCAAGUGCUGGCUUAGAUCCCAGAGGAGACAAAUGCCAGAAGACACAGACCAGAGACCUUAGGGGCCCAGAAAUUAAGUG
rnacentral:lncRNA from 1 species